rnacentral:rRNA from 1 species
GGAUGAACGCUAGCUACAGGCUUAACACAUGCAAGUCGAGGGGCAUCAGGAAGGAAGCUUGCUUUCUUUGCUGGCGACCGGCGCACGGGUGAGUAACACGUAUCCAACCUGCCCUUUACUCGGGGAUAGCCUUUCGAAAGAAAGAUUAAUACCCGAUAGCAUAAUGAUUCCGCAUGGUUUCAUUAUUAAAGGAUUCCGGUAAAGGAUGGGGAUGCGUUCCAUUAGGUUGUUGGUGAGGUAACGGCUCACCAAGCCUUCGAUGGAUAGGGGUUCUGAGAGGAAGGUCCCCCACAUUGGAACUGAGACACGGUCCAAACUCCUACGGGAGGCAGCAGUGAGGAAUAUUGGUCAAUGGGCGGUAGCCUGAACCAGCCAAGUAGCGUGAAGGAUGAAGGCUCUAUGGGUCGUAAACUUCUUUUAUAUAAGAAUAAAGUGCAGUAUGUAUACUGUUUUGUAUGUAUUAUAUGAAUAAGGAUCGGCUAACUCCGUGCCAGCAGCCGCGGUAAUACGGAGGAUCCGAGCGUUAUCCGGAUUUAUUGGGUUUAAAGGGAGCGUAGGUGGACUGGUAAGUCAGUUGUGAAAGUUUGCGGCUCAACCGUAAAAUUGCAGUUGAUACUGUCAGUCUUGAGUACAGUAGAGGUGGGCGGAAUUCGUGGUGUAGCGGUGAAAUGCUUAGAUAUCACGAAGAACUCCGAUUGCGAAGGCAGCUCACUGGACUGCAACUGACACUGAUGCUCGAAAGUGUGGGUAUCAAACAGGAUUAGAUACCCUGGUAGUCCACACAGUAAACGAUGAAUACUCGCUGUUUGCGAUAUACAGUAAGCGGCCAAGCGAAAGCAUUAAGUAUUCCACCUGGGGAGUACGCCGGCAACGGUGAAACUCAAAGGAAUUGACGGGGGCCCGCGCAAGCGGAGGAACAUGUGGUUUAAUUCGAUGAUACGCGAGGAACCUUACCCGGGCUUAAAUUGCAGUGGAAUGAUGUGGAAACAUGUCAGUGAGCAAUCACCGCUGUGAAGGUGCUGCAUGGUUGUCGUCAGCUCGUGCCGUGAGGUGUCGGCUUAAGUGCCAUAACGAGCGCAACCCUUAUCUUUAGUUACUAACAGGUCAUGCUGAGGACUCUAGAGAGACUGCCGUCGUAAGAUGUGAGGAAGGUGGGGAUGACGUCAAAUCAGCACGGCCCUUACGUCCGGGGCUACACACGUGUUACAAUGGGGGGUACAGAAGGCAGCUAGCGGGUGACCGUAUGCUAAUCCCAAAAGCCUCUCUCAGUUCGGAUCGAAGUCUGCAACCCGACUUCGUGAAGCUGGAUUCGCUAGUAAUCGCGCAUCAGCCACGGCGCGGUGAAUACGUUCCCGGGCCUUGUACACACCGCCCGUCAAGCCAUGGGAGCCGGGGGUACCUGAAGUGCGUAACCGCAAGGAUCGUCCUAGGGUAAAACUGGUGACUGGG